GGUGAAAGGAUGUCUACAAGUACUGGAGAAAUUACUGAAAGUGAUCGUAAGCUUCUCGAUGAACUCAGAAAAAGGAUUCAUAAAGAAUUAGAAUUA
rnacentral:sRNA from 1 species